rnacentral:rRNA from 1 species
CGGCAGCACGGGGGCAACCCUGGUGGCGAGUGGCGAACGGGUGAGUAAUACAUCGGAACGUGUCCUGUAGUGGGGGAUAGCCCGGCGAAAGCCGGAUUAAUACCGCAUACGCUCUACGGAGGAAAGGGGGGGAUCUUAGGACCUCCCGCUACAGGGGCGGCCGAUGGCAGAUUAGCUAGUUGGUGGGGUAAAGGCCUACCAAGGCGACGAUCUGUAGCUGGUCUGAGAGGACGACCAGCCACACUGGGACUGAGACACGGCCCAGACUCCUACGGGAGGCAGCAGUGGGGAAUUUUGGACAAUGGGGGCAACCCUGAUCCAGCAAUGCCGCGUGUGUGAAGAAGGCCUUCGGGUUGUAAAGCACUUUUGUCCGGAAAGAAAACGCCGUGGUUAAUACCCGUGGCGGAUGACGGUACCGGAAGAAUAAGCACCGGCUAACUACGUGCCAGCAGCCGCGGUAAUACGUAGGGUGCAAGCGUUAAUCGGAAUUACUGGGCGUAAAGCGUGCGCAGGCGGUCCGCUAAGACAGAUGUGAAAUCCCCGGGCUUAACCUGGGAACUGCAUUUGUGACUGGCGGGCUAGAGUAUGGCAGAGGGGGGUAGAAUUCCACGUGUAGCAGUGAAAUGCGUAGAGAUGUGGAGGAAUACCGAUGGCGAAGGCAGCCCCCUGGGCCAAUACUGACGCUCAUGCAC